rnacentral:rRNA from 1 species
CCUACGGGUGGCAGCAGUGAGGAAUAUUGGUCAAUGGCCGGAAGGCUGAACCAGCCAUGCCGCGUGAAGGUCAGUGCCCUAUGGGCGUUAAACUUCUUUUGUGCGGGAGCAAUAAUGGUCACGUGUGGCCAGACGAGAGUACCGUACGAAUAAGCAUCGGCUAACUCCGUGCCAGCAGCGGCGGUAAUACGGGGGAUGCAAGCGUUAUCCGGAUUUAUUGGGUUUAAAGGGUGCGUAGGCUGUGAGGUAAGUCAGAGUGGAAAUGCCCCGGCUCAACGGGGUGAAGUGCCAUUGAUACUGGCUUGCUGGAGUGCGGAUGCAGUGGGAGGAAUGUGUGGUGUAGCGGUGAAAUGCAUAGAUAUCACACAGAACACCGAUUGCGAAGGCAUCUCACGAGUCCGCGAUUGACGCUGAUGCACGAAAGCGUGGAUAUCAAACAGGAUUAGAUACCCGUGUAGUC